rnacentral:rRNA from 1 species
UUGGAGGGCAAGUCUGGUGCCAGCAGCCGCGGUAAUUCCAGCUCCAAUAGCGUAUAUUAAAGUUGUUGCAGUUAAAAAGCUCGUAGUUGAAUUUCGAGACCGGCUUAUUGGUCGUGCUAUUGUACGUACUGGUAUAAUCGGUUUCUCCUUUCUGACGAACUAUAAUGCCAUUAAUUUGGUGUUUUAGGGAAUCAGGACUGUUACUUUGAAAAAAUUAGAGUGUUUAAAGCAGGCUCACGCUUGAAUACAUUAGCAUGGAAUAACGAAAUAGGACGUUUGAUUUUAUUUUGUUGGUUUCUAGGAUCGACGUAAUGAUUAAUAGGGAUAGUUGGGGGCAUUAGUAUUCAAUUGUCAGAGGUGAAAUUCUUGGAUUUAUUGAAGACUAACUACUGCGAAAGCAUUUGCCAAGGAUGUUUUCAUUAAUCAAGAACGAAAGUUAGGGGAUCGAAGACGAUCAGAUACCGUCGUAGUCUUAACCAUAAACUAUGCCGACUAGGGAUCGGAUGAUGUUAAUUUUUAAUGACUCAUUCGGCGCCUACGGGAAC